UAUUGCACAAUGGGGGAAACCCUGAUGCAGCGACGCCGCGUGAGUGAAGAAGCGUUUCGGCGCGUAAAGCUCUGUCAGCGGGGAAGAAACACGGUUCGCGAGAGCCGCGGACGGUACCCGACCAAGAAGCCCCGCCUAACUACGUGCCAGCAGCCGCGGUAAUACGUAGGGGGCAAGCGUUAUCCGGAUUUACUGGGUGUAAAGGGAGCGUAGACGGUUAUGCAAGUCUGGAGUGAAAGCCCGGGGCUCAACCCCGGGACUGCUUUGGAAACUGUAAAACUGGAGUGCAGGAGAGGCAGGCGGAAUUCCUAGUGUAGCGGUGAAAUGCGUAGAUAUUAGGAGGAACACCAGUGGCGAAGGCGGCCUGCUGGACUGUAACUGACGUUGAGGCUCGAAGGCGUGGGGAGCAAACAGG
rnacentral:rRNA from 1 species